rnacentral:rRNA from 1 species
GACAGAGGGUGCAAACGUUGUUCGGAAUUACUGGGCGUAAAGCGUGUGUAGGCGGCCAUUCAAGUCGGAUGUGAAAGCCCCGGGCUCAACCCGGGAAGUGCACCCGAAACUGGAUGGCUUGAGUAUCGGAGAGGUUGGUGGAAUUCUCGGUGUAGAGGUGAAAUUCGUAGAUAUCGAGAGGAACACCGGUGGCGAAGGCGGCCUUCUGGACAGUGACUGACGCUGAGACGCGAAAGCGUGGGGAGCAAACAGG